CCUACGGGUGGCAGCAGUGAGGAAUAUUGGUCAUUGGGCGGAAGCCUGAACCAGCCAAGUAGCGUGCAGGAUGACGGCCCUACGGGUUUUAAACUGCUUUUAUACGGGAAUAACGCGCCUUACGUGUAGGGCUUUGCAUGUACCGUAUGAAUAAGGACCGGCUAAUUCCGUGCCAGCUGCCGCGGUAAUACGGAAGGUCCGGGCGUUAUCCGGAUAUAUUGGGUUUAAAGGGAGCGUAGGCCGCAUGUCAAGCGUGCUGUGAAAUGUCCGGGCUCAACCCGGGCAUUGCAGCGCGAACUGGCGUGCUUGAGUCCGCGGAAAGCAGGCGGAAUUCGUCGUGUAGCGGUGAAAUGCUUAGAUAUGACGAAGAACCCCGAUUGCGAAGGCAGCUUGCUGCAGCGGAACUGACGCUGAUGCUCGAAAGCGCGGGUAUCGAACAGGAUUAGAUACCCCUGUAGUC
rnacentral:rRNA from 1 species